rnacentral:lncRNA from 1 species
UUUCCGUGUGGCUUGCUUUAUUAGUGGUUUCAUUCUGCAGCGUGUUUAAUAAAAGCAUCGGUUGGUAAUCGAUCUCUUUCCUAAGAUUAUUUUCGACUUGGUUGGUAAUCUUUGCCUUGUUAUGUAAAUCUUGGACGCUUGAAAAGUUUGAUUUUCUUGUACUAUAUGUUUCUUGAGAAUUUGUGAAGGUAAUUAAAUGAAGGCUGAGGGAUGAUUGGUUUCUGAUUUGUGCCUGCCCAUCACGAC